CAGUAGCGUAUAUUAAAGUUGUUGCGGUUAAAAGCUCGUAGUUGGAUUUCUGCUGGAGCAGGACGGUCCGUUCUUUGAGCGUGUAUCAGAACCGGCUCUGGCAUCACUGUGAGGAGUGUGAACAUGCUUGGUUGCAUGGCGCGCAAUUUGCAGCUUUUACUUUGAGGAAAAUAGAGUGUUCACGGCAGGUAUACGCCUCGAAUAUAUUAGCAUGGAAUAAUAAUAUAGGACUGCAGUUCUAUUUUGUUGGUUUCUAGAACUAGAGUAAUGGUUGAUAGGGAUAGCUGGGGGCAUUUGUAUUAACGCGUCAGAGGUGGAAUUCUUGGAUUGCGUUACGACAAACUACUGCGAAAGCAUUUGUCAAGGAUGUUUUCAUUGAUCAAGAACGAAAGUAUGGGGAUCGAAGACGAUUAGAUACCAU
rnacentral:rRNA from 1 species